GGUUACAGAAAGAGAGGAGAGAGGUAUAUACAUCUGGCCUGAGAAACAGUGGUGUUACAGACAGAGAGGAGAGAGGUAUAUACAUCUGGCCUGAGAAACAGUGGUUACAGAAAGAGAGGAGAGAGGUAUAUACAUCUGGCCUGAGAAACAGUGGUGUUACAGAAAGAGAGGAGAGAGGUAUAUACAUCUGGCCUGAGAAACAGUGGUUACAGAAAGAGAGGAGAGAGGUAUAUACAUCUGGCCUGAGAAACAGUGGUGUUACAGAAAGAGAGGAGAGAGGUAUAUACAUCUGGCCUGAGAAACAGUGGUUACAGAAAGAGAGGAGAGAGGUAUAUACAUCUGGCCUGAGAAACAGUGGUUACAGAAAGAGAGGAGAGAGGUAUAUACAUCUGGCCUGAGAAACAGUGGUGUUACAGAAAGAGAGGAGAGAGGUAUAUACAUCUGGCCUGAGAAACAGUGGUUACAGAAAGAGAGGAGAGAGGUAUAUACAUCUGGCCUGAGAAACAGUGGUUACAGAAAGAGAGGAGAGAGGUAUAUACAUCUGGCCUGAGAAACAGUGGUUACAGAAAGAGAGGAGAGAGGUAUAUACAUCUGGCCUGAGAAACAGUGGUUACAGAAAGAGAGGAGAGAGGUAUAUACAUCUGGCCUGAGAAACAGUGGUUACAGAAAGAGAGGAGAGAGGUAUAUACAUCUGGCCUGAGAAACAGUGGUUACAGAAAGAGAGGAGAGAGGUAUAUACAUCUGGCCUGAGAAACAGUGGUUACAGAAAGAGAGGAGAGAGGUAUAUACAUCUGGCCUGAGAAACAGUGGUGUUACAGAAAGAGAGGAGAGAGGUAUAUACAUCUGGCCUGAGAAACAGUGGUUACAGAAAGAGAGGAGAGAGGUAUAUACAUCUGGCCUGAGAAACAGUGGUUACAGAAAGAGAGGAGAGAGGUAUAUACAUCUGGCCUGAGAAACAGUGGUUACAGAAAGAGAGGAGAGAGGUAUAUACAUCUGGCCUGAGAAACAGUGGUGUUACAGAAAGAGAGGAGAGAGGUAUAUACAUCUGGCCUGAGAAACGGUGGUGUUACAGAAAGAGAGGAGAGAGGUAUAUACAUCUGGCCUGAGAAACAGUGGUUACAGAAAGAGAGGAGAGAGGUAUAUACAUCUGGCCUGAGAAACAGUGGUUACAGAAAGAGAGGAGAGAGGUAUAUACAUCUGGCCUGAGAAACAGUGGUUACAGAAAGAGAGGAGAGAGGUAUAUACAUCUGGCCUGAGAAACAGUGGUUACAGAAAGAGAGGAGAGAGGUAUAUACAUCUGGCCUGAGAAACAGUGGUGUUACAGAAAGAGAGGAGAGAGGUAUAUACAUCUGGCCUGAGAAACAGUGGUUACAGAAAGAGAGGAGAGAGGUAUAUACAUCUGGCCUGAGAAACAGUGGUUACAGAAAGAGAGGAGAGAGGUAUAUACAUCUGGCCUGAGAAACAGUGGUGUUACAGAAAGAGAGGAGAGAGGUAUAUACAUCUGGCCUGAGAAACAGUGGUUACAGAAAGAGAGGAGAGAGGUAUAUACAUCUGGCCUGAGAAACAGUGGUUACAGAAAGAGAGGAGAGAGGUAUAUACAUCUGGCCUGAGAAACAGUGGUUACAGAAAGAGAGGAGAGAGGUAUAUACAUCUGGCAUGAGAAACAGUGGUUACAGAAAGAGAGGAGAGAGGUAUAUACAUCUGGCCUGAGAAACAGUGGUUACAGAAAGAGAGGAGAGAGGUAUAUACAUCUGGCCUGAGAAACAGUGGUGUUACAGAAAGAGAGGAGAGAGGUAUAUACAUCUGGCCUGAGAAACAGUGGUUACAGAAAGAGAGGAGAGAGGUAUAUACAUCUGGCCUGAGAAACAGUGGUGUUACAGAAAGAGAGGAGAGAGGUAUAUACAUCUGGCCUGAGAAACAGUGGUUACAGAAAGAGAGGAGAGAAAUACAAGAGCCGAAAGAAAGUGUGAGAGAGAGGGAAGGAAAGGAGGGGAGCGAAGUAAAUUAAUUGGUUUGUUUAAAGCCUCCUCCAAUUGUGGAAGAUAAUGUGGUCUCACAAAAGACAAUUAAUGGCAAUCCAUUUAAAUCUGUUUUACCUAUCCCACAGAAACCAAUUAGGGUGUUAUAAUUUGCCUUUUUGAUUCCAAGCAUAUCCUACCAAAGAGGGAGUCCAGUCCACACCAUGAGGAGUGGGAUGAGCGAAAACAUCCGGAGGUGUUGUUGGAAGCAGUAACUAACCACACAUAGUUCCAUCAAGGAAGACAAAAGGAGAGAGACUGAGCGGGAAAGCAGGAAACUAUACUGUAUUAAUGAAUGUGGUGUUUUAAAGGGGGGGGGGAAACAACAAGGAACUGAAGAAUCCUACAGCAACCGUUUGAACCAGCCACUCUACUUACUGUACUAUACACAGUCACUGCUCGUUAGGCAGGCUUCAUCAUCUGAUUGUAUUAGUGUAUCGAGCUCUGUUGUUCACGUGUAGACUGCAUUUAUACAAGCAGCCCAAUUCUGAUCUUUUGCCCAAUUGUUGGCAAAAGCUCUGAUCUGAUUGGUCAAAAGGCCAAUUAUUGGCAAACAAUCAGAAUUGGGCUGCCUGUGUAAACGCAGCAAUACAGUAUAGGCUCACACCACAGGAGGUCGUGGCACCUUAAUUGGGGAGGACGGGCUCGUGGUAACGGCUAGAAUGAGUGGAAUGGUAUCAGAUACAUCAAACACAUGGUCUCCAUGGUUUCCAUGUGUUUGAUACCGUUCCAUUCGCUCCGUUCCAUACAUUAUUUUGAGCCGUCCUCUGAGCAGCCUCCUCUGGCUUUUACAUUCAGCAGUUUGGCUUCAGGGCCUUUUACAUGAUCUACAUGAUAUUUGUAUAUUUAUGUUUAUAUUUACAUGAUAUUUGUAUAUUUAUGUUUAUAUUUACAUGAUAUUUGUAUAUUUAUGUUUAUAUUUACAUGAUAUUUGUAUAUUUAUGUUUAUAUUUACAUGAUAUUUGUAUAUUUAUGUUUAUAUUUACAUGAUAUUUGUAUUUUUAUGUUUAUAUUUACAUGAUAUUUGUAUUUUUAUGUUUAUAUUUACAUGAUAGAGCUCAACUUUAAAUCUCAGAGGAAUUGUACCUUGGUAAUGUCUAGUGCACAAUCUGUGUUCAGUAGAUUAGAAACACAGUUUGUCCUUUUAGCACAGGUAUGUACAAGAGGCUAAACCAACUAUCCUUCGGAGUGGGCCAAAUUGAGCCAUUUGUUACAUUCAGUGUCUCUCUGUCAAAGGAAAUAUAGUAUUCUAUCUAACAACGUUGUCUACAUAUAUUUCAGGAUGUUGUGUAUCCCUGGAAAUAAUCAGAAUUUGUGUAAACAUUACAGAUUUUGAAAACAUCA